rnacentral:lncRNA from 1 species
CAGUAGAGUCUAGUCUGACGGGGAAAAGGCUCUCCAUCAAUUGGGAUGAUGCUGUUUGGAGCCUUGAAGGAGAAAUGCGCGCAGCGCAGUAAGGGCGCACUGAGGUCAUAAACCGGACUAUCAGGUGAUGGACAUUUAAAUGAACAGCAAAGGAGAAGCUGCUAGUCCUUUGUGACUUGCUCGAUAGCCGAGGUUACAGAAGUGGAGGGUAAAAUGGGGAAAGGCUCUUCAGAGCGUGUGGUGUGCAGGGGUUUGUUGACCUUAGUCUAUACUUACGGCUUCCCAACUGAGACCAGAAACAGCAGCACCAUGGUGGGAGCAUUCGCACCGUAAGUCAAGGAAGCAAGAGGUACAAAGCCAGGCUCACUCAUAAUUAUUGUCUGCUUUCUGCAAACUGACUAGAAGCCCAGGAAAGCUAAGCUGAUCCCUUCCGAGACAGCACUGGGUGGCAUAACCGCCUUAUUCCUGGGUCCCUCCACAAUGUCACACUGAAGACCACGCCUCCAGCGCAUGUUCAAGCCAGCUCCCAACCAGAGCUGCCUCAACUUAAGACUUGUGGUACAAUGAAGACCACCCAGGACAACCACCAUCACCAAGGCCAGUUAACCUUAUCUGAUAGCAAAUCCCUCUGAGAAUUCUAGUGCGUUAUCGAUGGAGCACUGAACCAAGGAAUGACAAGCAGACAAGAGGAUUCAGAGGACUUGGAAAUGGCUGCCUGGCCGUAGGGGAUCGGCCCUCACCUGUGACAUCCCACUCCUUCAACUGUGCCUUGGCUCCCGUGAAAGCUUGCUCGUGGCAUCUUCCUUCCAUCGCAUGCAGUGGGAGUUAGUAAGGACUCUCCCCUCUGUGCUGCUGGAGGUACGUGAGGUCUGGGCAGAGGCAGGUAUGGAAAUCCACAAACAAUGGAUGCAACUGCAAGUGGGAACAGGCCAUUCGGACUGAAGGUGACCUUGGAGAAGGUUCUGCGAAGCCUGGCUCAUUUCCAGCCGACUGAGGAAAAGCAGGAGACUGUAUCGGUCAACAGCGGAAGUCCUCAGCUCAGCUAGAGACAGUGUUCCAGCUGCAGUCUGUUACCAGUGUUCUUCAGUCCCUCCUUUUCUCUGUGCCAGCACAGACAGACGGAGCUAAGUGACAAGGGUCUGCGCCACCCCAGGUCACAGUCACUUGUGCUCUCACCGCCCGUGUAGAUGGGGAUGCGAGGCAAGAGAGCUCCUGCAGAGGGGAUCACUCAGGAGUCGUGUCUUGCUGGAUUGACAGCAGCUCCAAAACUGAGCGGAAGCAAGUGAGAACCAUAGCAGGAAUUCGACAAAAUUAGAAAGCGACAGGACUUGAAUCUGGGAUGUUCUCCACAGGCUCAGGCUCCAACUUGUGCUGUUUCCUGGAGUGGUGGACCAGUUAGGAGAUGCGGCCUGAGCCAGAGAAGCAGGGCAUAGCCUUUGGUUCGAGUGGAGAGCUGUUCUUUGAAAUCUUUUCAUGCCAAAGAGAAGGGAUACAACAGAGUGCCGGCCACCAUGUCCACGCUCUCAGAAAGAGGAAUGUUCUGGAAGCAAAGCAUGGCCUGAGUGGCUCUCGAGAUGUGAGCUCAGCUAAACUAAGACUUACUUCAUCCUUCAGACCUGCAGCCUCGGAGCUUCAGAGUGAGGCCUUGAAUGGCCCCACCAAUGGGAUAAAGAAAUAAUUGCUGGUGAUUUCAGUUGCCCUGUAGGUGAGGGAUCAAUAUAUCAGAGAGGACUGCUUACCAAACUUUGUACAGGAGUCUGGAAAUUUUGACUGUGUCUCCGAAGUGUGUAACAGUUAAUAGAUAGCAGAAUGUGAGCCUCUGUGUGGAUGGGUUUCUAUGCCCUUGGGAAUCCUGCGAGAUAAAUCUGUUUUCUCUUUUUAUUAUAAGACUUUUGUCACCAGCUGCACUUGAGUUUUCAUACAGAGAAACCCCCAAAUCACACCGCAUGAAGUGUCACAAAUCACACACGCGAUCUGUAGCCAUGCGUGACAAAGGGACCUCGGUUCAGCACUGAAGUUCUGCAGAAAGGCAU